GUGAAUCAUCGAAUUUUUGAACGCAAAUUGCGCUUCCUGGAAUCCCGGGAAGUAUGCCUGUUUGAGGGUCAGUCUUAAUAAAAAAUCGGUUUUGUUACUAGUUGUUAAGUUUCCGGAGUUUGGGCUAUCUUAACAUUUUUGGUUAUGAGGCUUAAUAUUGACCUCUUUUGCGCGUUUUUUACUGUAUAUAAAUUUUUUUUAUUCGUCUAUUCUUAAUGCUUAAAUCUUAUUAGAUGCGUUAACACUGUGUGGC
rnacentral:misc_RNA from 1 species